UUUUUUUUUUUUGGUUUGUUUUUGUUUUUGUCUUUUUGUUGUUGUUGUUGCUAUUUCUUGGGCCGCUCCCGCGGCAUAUGGAGGUUCCCAGGCUAGGGGUUGAAUCGGAGCUGUAGCCACCGGCCUACGCCAGAGCCACAGCAACGCGGGAUCCGAGCCGCGUCUGCAACCUACACCACAGCUCACGGCAACGCCGGAUCGUUAACCCACUGAGCAAGGGCAGGGACCGAACCCGCAACCUCAUGGUUCCUAGUCGGAUUCGUUAACCACUGCGCCACGACGGGAACUCCCGGGAAAUGAAUUUUUUAUUUUAGUUCAUUUCAUUUUUAAUAUCUGUAUGUGGCCAGCAGCUACCAUACUGGACAGAGCAGUCUUGCCUCUUCCAUGUGGUGGGGCAAUCAACCUUUCUGAGGUUCAAACACUUAAUCGUGUCCUUGUGCCAGGAACCAUCCAAAGGGCUCUCUGGGGGCUCCUGAGGCUCAGUGGGUUAAGGACUCAACAUUAUCUCUGUGAGGAUGCAGGUUCAAUCCCUGGCCUGUUCAGUGGGUUGAGGCUCCAGCAUUGCCAUAAGCUGCUGUACAUCACAGAUGUGGCUUGGAUUGGGUGUUGCCGAAGCUAUGGCACAAGUCUGCAGCUACAGUUGUCAUUCAACCCCUGCCCCAGAAACUUCCCUAUGUUGCAGGAAAAAGAAAAAAAGAAAAAUAGGGGAGUGGUGGGAGGAGCUCUCUGUUCAAGAUAGGGCUGGGGAGUUCCUGUCGUGGCGCAGUGGUUAACGAAUCCGACUAGGAACCAUGAGGUUGCAGGUUCGGUCCCUGCCCUUGCUCAGUGGGUUAACGAUCCGGCGUUGCCGUGAGCUGUGGUGUAGGUCACAGACGCGGCUCAGAUCUGACGUUGCCAUGGCUGUGGUGUAGGCUGGCAGCUGUAGCUCCAAUUCAACCCCUAGCUUGAGAACCUCCAUAUGCCAAGUGUGCGGCCCUCAAAAUCAAAAAAAAAAAAAAAAAAAAAGAAGGGAAGGGAAAGAAAAGAAAGGAAAACGUGUCUACCUGAUUUCAUCCUCACAGAAACCCUGCAAGGCAAUACAAUUAUCUUCACCUGACAAAGAGACUGAGACUCAGAAAAAUCUAAUAACUUGCCUUGGGUCACACAGUUAAUUAGGGCCAGAGUCAAGGUUUGGAGCCCCAUGUCUGACUCCAAAGUCUGUGGUUUUCCACUUCAUCAUGUGGCUGAGGAAGAAAGUGCCCUUCCUGGCCCUGACGGGUGAGAGCUGGGCAGGGCAACGCCGUGGGCUGCUGGAUGGUGCUCUAACUGGCCUCUUCCUGAGCCAGGUCUGCCCUGUUGCAACUUCAUUACUUGGCCUGAAAUGCAUUUCUAGAACUCCGACACACCCAGAUCCACACAUAAGGCCAAAGGCACUCGGCCAAAGAAAAAUUAUCUGCUUCUGCGCCUUCCAUUAGUGCAGAUAAUUAACAGUUGAUUUGAUAUUCUUGGCAUAAAGGAAGACAGAGCUGUGCUUUGUUUGGGCUGAUAUUAAAAUACCUCUUCAUCCCCUCUGCACGCUGAUUUGCUCACUCGCCAGAGAACCAGACAGCAGGGUCAGAAGUGAGCUGGAAGGGAAGGAGAGGAGGGAGGAGAAGGAACUGACGCUUCUGAGACAUCUAAGCUCUGCCAGGUACCAAGCUAAGAACUUCAACACAUUCCUCAAGUGAUCCCCAUCCUAUGAGGUCGCUAUGACUAUUCGUGUUUUACAGGAGCAGGACUGAAGCUCAGCGAGGUGAAGCAACUUGCCCAAAGUCACACAGUUGAUGGGGCCAGAUGACUUCGCUAUCCACGUCUGCCUGAUGCCAAGGCCAUUUUAUAUCACCCUGGCUCUAGGCAGAGACCUGGAAAACCCACCACUGCUUACGACGCACCUGAACUCCUUUCCAGCUCUACCCAGACCACACCUGAAGCCAGGCUCCUGCUGCAGCCACCCCUUCUCCCAGAAGUUCAGGCUCUAUGAGCAGGAGCAGACCCCAGCCCCCAACUCCAUUGUGCCAUGGAUGACAAUGAGAGGCAGGCGUCCCUUUCUCACCCACCGCUUUCCUCCCCACCCCACAGGGUGCUGCCAGUUCAGCACAAUAGAGCAUUCUGUGUCCAGAGCCUCUGCUGGCAGCCAUCAGGCUUUUGCAGCCCCCUCCAGACAAUGGCAGAGCCCAAAAGCCCUGAUGACCGGUGACAAAUGUAUGUGAAUGACCAGCUUACAGGAAGUGGCCUUCAAUAGUCCGAUAGCUUCCUGCAUCCUGACAUUGUGAAGGCCCACUUCCCGUGCUGUCUCCGAAAAUACAGCGAGGCAGAGCUGGGGGCGGGGGCAGAGGCAGGGCUUCCCUGCUCACCCUAGACCCAGGCAGUAUUCAACCCUCUUGCCUAGUGAUGCCACCAGCCUCACCUGACCCCUGACCAAACCCCACCCCAGCCCAGGCAGAACAGAGGACCUAUUUUUAACGAGUCUACAGCCUUCCUCCGUUACCCACUGCCCACCCUGCCCGCCCUGCCUGCUUCCAGGAUCCCAGGCCUUCUGCCGAGAAAGGCUGGCCAUGGCUACUCACACACCUCGGGUGCACACCAAACAUACGUCCCUGUGUCCCUGGUCACUCGACUCUGAACGAUAACCUUCAGUAGGCUUACAAAUGCUUAUUAGGUCACCCCUUCAACCUUAUCUUCCAGAGUGGACAAUCACAAUUCCUUCAACUUCCUCUGGGUCAAAAAAAAAAAAAAAAA
rnacentral:lncRNA from 1 species